UAGAUGAAUUGUAUGUUUUUAAUCAGUUUCUCAUAUUCCAACUUUGCCCUGAGAGUCAGUUUUUUACUUAGUUCUUAACCCGUCCGCUGCGAUUAUCACGGACUUGGCUUUCACUGGUAGCCUGGUUACAUAAUAUAGUCCCAGGUCCACCUUUACCCUCCUCCUCGCCUCACCCAGUGUCCUGUGGCUGAGAAGUGUGUAUUUACCCACAGGGAGUGCUCGUGGGGGUAAGAAGCUCUCACAUCAUACCCUGGAGAUGGACUGAGGGUGCUGGCCUGCUGCUGCCGAUGAUGCCAUCAGGGGAGUCUGAACCCUUGUACCCCCUCAAGAUAAGCCCAGAUUGAUUUUCCUGUUGGCGUGAAAGAUUUGCAUAGGCUAUAUAUAUAUUAAAAAACAAAAAAAUGAACUAAAUCAAUGAUGAUGAUGCAUGUGGAUGUGCAUCAUGAUCAGUGUGCAUGAGUGAGCAGAUGCAGCCCACUAGUGAUGAGGGUGGCAGGGCGUACAGGUAACUCUCGAUUUACGCGAGUAUUGUGUCCUUGAAGAGGUCAUUGCGUAGAUCAAAAACAAUUUAGUAUAUCAAACAAGAGGUAGGUUUGUACCUUUAUUGCCUACUGUAUCACUCUGACUCCUCUCCCUCGCGUGGUUCCUCCUCUGGCUGUCCUUCCCCUCGUGGUAGCUCAGCAGCGAGGGUGUUGUUGUUGUUGUUGUUGAGUAGCGUGGGUACUGUAUUGUUGUUCAAGUGGCGCGGGAAGAACUGAGCUCAGCUGUGUGGCCGCGGCGCCAUGUGAGUCCAGUUGCGUGAGACAUCUGGUGGCCAAUCCAUAAAAUAUCGCGUAUAAGUGAAAAAAAAGCGUGUAAAUUAAACAUUUAUUUGGAUUUUGGGCCAUGCGUUAUUUCAAGAAUGCGUAAACCAAACUCGCAUAAAUUGAGAGUUACCUGUAUAGCAUAUUAUUUGCCCUUAAUGGCCAUCAGGAAGGGAAGAUUGAAGCUGUGUUCAUGGUGCAGCAGCUGUCUGGUGGCCUCCCAAAUGAACACCACUGAGUGCCUGGAUGUUUUCACUGUGUUAAUACAGUUUCUCUAAUGUCUGGUGGCCAUACUGUUUUUAGCCAGAAGUGCUCCAGAAUUUUUUUUAUAAAGCUUGUCACUGAUUUUUCAUUUAGUUUAAAAUUUACUGUUGAAUUUUAAGCUGGCAAUGUAGCUGUUCUUGUGUUAUAUUUCAUUUUAAUUGCCUUUUUUUGAGUUGUUUCAGUGAUUAUUUUUCAUCCAGUGGACAUCAGCAGACUUUGCUUUACUAUGCUGUAGUGAAGAAUACAUUGUGAUAUGUAUGAUAUUGUCUCUUUUCCUAUUCAGCCUCAGUUGAAAAAAUGUCAUUUUGGCAGAUUAACCCGGCAGUGUCGGCGGACCCAUUUUUGGGCUCCCGCGAAUCGGUCCGCUGAAACAGCGGACCCCGUAUGAGGCUCGGCUCAAAAUGCCUAAUUCAAGCUAAUUGUAGGCGGUUGCGGCAUAGAGCAACCCACCAUGCAUGCCCUGGGUCAUUGUGGUGGGUGAUUGAUCUUGAGGUGGGCUUAUUUGUCAUAGGUGGUGCUGUAAGGUCAUGGCAGACUGAAUUAGCUAUCCACACAGUAAUCACUUGUCAAAUUAUCUAAGGUAGACAACAAGCGACUCUCGGCUAGGUGCCGUGCGUCACGAGACUGUUUAUUUUGUAACAAACACCACCCAACAAGAAUGGAGUUUGAGUAAAAGUAAACAUUUUAACGGCCUUAUGGUUAUGAGAGGAGCACUCUGAUGUACGUUCCUUGCUCUUUUCUUAGUCUCAAAAUGCAGUGUAAUGUUGACGUUUCUCGGCCACUUCUCGGCUUUCCCGCAGCCCAAGCCCACGGGUUAACAAUUACUGUUAUUAUUACUGCUCUUCAAGGCUUGCAGUGACCUGAGACCUAGAGUGACAUAAGCACCAAAGUGUCUUCAAAUGCUCAGUAAUAACUGCAUGGUGUCAGCAUUCUGAGAUGCAGGUUUUCCUACUUUGAAGACUUAUUUAUUUAUUUAUUUAUUUAUUUAUAUAAUUUUACAGCAAAGGAGACAGCACAAGGGCACACAAAAAAGGAAACUAAAAAAGAAGCCCGCUACACGUAUUUUUUUAUUUUUACUCAUUUUUCUUGCUUAGAAGGACCAUUAAGAAAUAUGAUCCCCGCUGCUACCGGGUUAAGGCCCUCCCCCACCCAGGCCCUCCUUGGCCCAUUUCACCAAGGCAUUUAUCUCUCCUCAUGUAUAAAUCCAGGAUCAAUUCAUUUCCAAACUGCAUACACUCACAUUUGCACACAGCUCAUGAUCCACUGAAGCCUGUUUAGUGUAGUGUGGCGACUAUGCCUGAUGAACGAGCCCCCCAUAACCCACUUAGCCAGGGGGGUAGCUCUUUGGCCGACUCGGUAGGGAGUGGCUCUCCUGUCAUGCUGGUCGCGGGUUCAGUCCCAGGCAGCCGGGGAAUACCCUCUCCUUGCCGUGAUUAAUUUCUCGUGUGUUUCGAGAUACAGACAUGUGGGGCCGAGAGAGUAAUAGAAAAAGAGAUAGAAAAUCUCUUUAUUAAAUUAGGACCUCUUGGGAAAUAUACUAAUUAAGUCCUUGAUAUUAUUAUCAUUUCUAUGAGAAUUUUCCUUUUCACUUUUCUUGUUCAUGCGUUUUUUUAUUUAAACAUUAACAUUGGUAAUGGCUUGCUCCAUCAUUUGUUUCUCACACGCCCGGUAUCUCAGGGGUAGAGCGUCUGGCUCACAACCAGAAGGACCAGGGUUCUAAUCCCUGGCUGGGUGAAGAUAAGUUGGGUUUAUCUUCUUUCACGUGUAGCCCCUGUUCACCCAGCAGUGAGUAGGUACGCAAGGAGUUGUGACCUCGUUGUGGCGGUGUGUUAUGUAUGAGUGGUCUCAGUCCACCCAAAGAUCGGCACUAUGAGCUCUGUGCUCUCCCGUAGGGGAACGGCUGGCUGUCUGACCCGCAGCAGACCAAGAGCUGAUUACACUGGAGAGCACAGUGGUCACCCAGCAGACCCGCAGCAAACACCAGAAAAUGAGAAAAAUUGUCCCUCAAUGCUUGAAGGACGGUUACUCUGGGCUGCUCCACGUGGCUGCUCCAUCUGCCGGGGCCGACGAUGCAAGUCUCCCUUUCAGGUUGGUGAGCCUCUGCCUGUCUUGCCCCCCUCAUGAGAAUGAUGCAAAGAAAACAGUGCCCUUAUAUUGGCUCGGGUGUCUACAGCCAUGUGAUACCAGUGUUGUAAAUAUUUUCAGCUGAGAGGAAAAACGAUGGUUCAAGCUACAACAACAAAAAAAGGUGACAAAUAAACAUUAUAUAUAUAUCACUAGUUACAUGGUGAAGAUGAUGUGCCAGCCACUGGAGUGCCCCCCACACAUGCCUCCUCAGCUUGACUGGUGGUGGGCUUUGAUCAAGGAGCCUCGAGUUAGUGAAAACAUAAAGUAGGCCGCAUACACCGUAGCAUCAUGCAUAUUUUAAAGUGUCUGAUCUUACUAAACUCUCAGUGUUCUGUACUCAUGAUUUCCCCGUGACAACUCAUCUUGGGUAGGCGGUGGCUGAGUGGUAGCAUGCUGGGCCCACAUUCACCGCGUGAUGGACGACGCGGGUUCGAAUCCCCACGCUACCACCUCGCAUUUUUCAGUCACCGCCGAGUGGCUUAAAACUACCCACAUGCUGUCCUGAAGACCACCCAUCAACCCGGACUCUAGAGGAAACCGUCCAAGUGAAUCAAGAACGAGUUCCGGGGGGCAGCAUGAGCCAAGAGAAGAUGGCGCCACUAUAAACACUUGCCUGCGCCAUGACGGGCUGGGGCCGACCACCAUCCAGGCCCCGCAAGCAAGCCUGCCGGCGCCAUAGACGUAGACAUGUAAAAAAACAACAACUAUGACCUCAUUUGACAUUGCCAAAGUUUCUCCGUAGAAAAUGUCCUCACAAACUUGAAUCAUAUAUUACACAGAUACCCAAAAAAUUAUCAUUUGAAUAAAAAGUCAAAUUAGAUUUAAAAAAAACGGAUUUAAAUCAAAUAAAUCUAUUUUUUAAUUUCUCCAAACCUGUAAGAUGCACUGUGGGCAUAUCUGCAUCAUUAUAUACACGGUUACUUCAGGUCUUGAGGGAGCUCAGAGCCUGUAUCCUUGGGAUAAAGUCUUUUUUUUUUUUUUUUUUUUUUUAUUAUUUUUUUUUUUAAUCACGUCUACGCCUAUGUCGCCGGCAGGCUUGCUUGAGGGGCCUGGAUGGUGGUCGGCCCCAGCCCGUCAUGGCGCAGGCAAGUGUUUAUAGUGGCGCCAUCUUCUCUUGGCUCAUGCUGCCCCCCGGAACUCGUUCUUGAUUCACUUGGACGGUUUCCUCUAGAGUCCGGGUUGAUGGGUGGUCUUCAGGACAGCAUGUGGGUAGUUUUAAGCCACUCGGCGGUGACUGAAAAAUCCCAGGUGGUAGCAUACGUGGGGAUUCGAGCCCGCGUCGUCCAUCACGCUGUGAAUGUGGGCCCAGCACGCUACCACUCAGCCACCGCCUACCCAUGUAGUGCAAGAACUUUGAUCUCUUCCUUCUCUUGCAGAAUUCACCACAACCAAGUGUUACCAAGUGAGGCGAGGAUGGCCCAGGGCACCACCACCACCAUCGCCACAGUCACCUCCAGAAAGCAACACCGCAUCAAUUUUUUUUUUUUUUCACAGCUAAGGAAUCGGCUCAAGGGCAACAAAAAAGGUGUGAAAUAAAAAGCCCGCUAAUCGCUGUUCCCACAAAGACAAUAGUGAAAGGUGGCCAAAAGAGAGCAUACAAGGACAAUGAGGAAGAGGAGGAGGAGGAUAAAUAAUUAGUGAGAAAAAAAUAUCAAUGAAAAAUAAGAGAAAAUGAGAGAAAAUGAAAGAUAGUGAUGAAAAAGACUGAAUUAAAUAUUUACUACAUAUCUAGUACUACUGAAAAAAAGAGAGAUACAGAAUAAAGGGAGAAAGUGACUGGAUUACUACUACUACUACUACUACUACUACUACUACUACUACUACUACUACUGCUACAUCUGGUUAUGGAGGGACCAACCAGAACAAGAGGAACAACAACAACAACAACAACACAAAGGAAGGAAUUUUGGAUUUAAGGGCUCCACACCACCGCCAGUCUACCGGCUCCACCAAAGGACUGCUACCAGGUUCUCGGGUGCCCAGAAGCGCCUCGGAGAAGGAGAUGAAGAAGGCGUACUAGUACCAGGGAGUGGCCGGAGGACGGCUGACCCACAAGGCUGACCUACAAGGCUGACCUACAAGAGGCUUGCUUGGAUUUAAACCAAUUGAAAUCAGAGGAAAAAAAUCAUGAUCAUGACGAUGAUACAAAAACUAUCACCAAAAUGCCGUGGUUUACUAGCGGUGACUUGGUGGACGAGCAUCCUGUUUUUUUUUAUAUAUAUUAUUUUUAGUUUAUUUAUUUAUUUUUUUAUUUUAUUUGUGGCCUCACCCGGGUGGGGGGACAGGCUCUAUGGAGGCCGUCAGGGUCAAGCGUGUACGUCCCUUCAAGGAGGGAGCACAAACCCUUGCUGGCCCGUGAUGGGGAGGGAGGAUGCCGAUAGACUGACUCUACAAGCUUACGUCAGCCUAAGCGAUCAGUCGGUCUGUCAAGGAGGACUGGCGUGUCUCUGGAAGGCGUGAGCGUGGGCUCCCUUGGUUGGCUGCAGGACCAGAGUGCUCGGAGCAGAAAACAAUAGGAAGAGAGCCUCAGGGCGGCCACCUUGAUCUAAAGAAAAAACACAACCCCCAGUACAGAACCAAUACAUAUUUUAAGGAAUGGCUGGGAAAAAAAAAAAAGGCAUCGUUUCAAUUUUUUUGUUCCUAACGAUGGCGCUGAUGUUUUCAUGCCGGGAAAUUCUUGCCUAUCCUGCAGUGAUGCGUUAAAAUGGUCUGGGGUGCAACAGUGACACAACAGUAACACAACAGUAACACAACAGUAAGGCAUUUCCCAGUGAACCACAAAACCAGUACAUAAACAUUAUGUUUGUCAAGGGUCGUCCUGCAGUACGUGUACAAUAUGCGUCGUAACGUUCCCCCCCUCCCUUCUGCCUUCACCAUCAGGGGCCGUCAGUCACGCCGGGCCAGAGACAUUUUAGGGUUGCCAGCUGUUCCUUAAAAUAUGUAUUGGUUCUGUAGUGGAGGUUGUGUUCCUUACUUUUCUUAGCUCAAGGUGGCCGCCCUGAGGCUCUCUUCCCACUGUCUUUCACUCAGCACUCUCGUCCUGCGGCGAACACAGGGAACCUGCGCUCACUUGUACACAGAGACGUGCCAGUCCUGUCCAAAGACUGACUUGGUCGGCCAGCGGUCGUCAGCUGAUGGUCGGUCUAUCGGCAUCCUCCCCUCCCCGCCAUGAGCCAUCACCGGCAAGGGUCUGUGGCCGCUCGUAAACCACGGCAUUUUUUGAGAUUUUUUGUUGCUCGUGAAUCAAAUCGUGUGUAAAGUAAGGCACUGGUAAGGCCAGGUAUGACUGUGUCACCCAGCCCUGGGGGGGGGGGGGGUUAGCAUGGGGUAAUUACAGCUAACAGUUGUUUUUAUUAUACGCCAGAAUCUCAAUCUCUCUCUCAUUCCUCCCGAGACUUGCCUCCAUUAUUUCCUUGCCUUACCUUGCAGCCCCUUUCUCCCGUCCUUCUUUCAUUUCCAUCUCUCUCUCUCUCUCUCUCUCUCUCUCUCUCUCUCUCUCUCUCUCUCUCUCUCU